GAGAAGGUACUUGAAAUGUUCGCGAAUGGUAGACAAGUUUUCACUUAAACGUGUAGCCCUGAAGACGGUCGACCGUAGAAUGAAACGCUCAAGGCAAACGACAAGUCCAUGAAUCAAAACAACACACGAUAUACAUAUACACACGUAUGUAUAUAUGUAUAUAUAUAUAUAUAUAUAUAUAUAUAUAUUGUUAAUUUCGUUGUUAAUUUCGUUUAUACCAUUCAAAACAAAUCUUACCUUGUAUACGUACGUACGUACGUACGAAUAUAAAACAAUCUUUUAUGUUUAUAUUUCUUUUCUUAAUAUUAAAGACCGCUCGAAAAACAAAUUGAAAAUUUGAAUAGGUAUUUAAUACGUAAAUCCAAAUUUUGAACGUUAUAUUAAUCGAUAGAUUUUUUAUGACGAUGAUUAUGAUAUUAAUAUUUUUAAAUACGAAGGAGGAUAAAAAGAGAAAAUAAUAAAGUCCAAUGUUGAUAUCUCGUGCGAGAUAAAGCAAAAUUGAAGCUAUUAGAAAUCAGGAUAAUUAAUUAAUCAAACUCAGUGAGUACCCUGCACUUAGUAGGGUUUUCCUAAUUCGAAACCUGUGACCGCAGUCAAGCAUCCUAAGCCGAUAUCAACGACGAAGAUAGUUAAUCUUUCAUCAAUUCCCAAGUGAGGAACACGCCACGCAGUCUCGUGCGAUCAAUUUCUUAAUGCGCAAGGGAAAAACUCGGCGAUUACUUAAUUGAGGAAAAGAAGGAGGAAGGAUUUCGUAUAGACCAAAAAAGAUAUAUAUAUAUAAAAAAGAAAGAAAGAAGGAAAGAAAACUUUCUUGAGAUGUUUGUAGAUAUCGAAGAUUUCUCAGUAGCAAAAGAAGAUCAGCGAAGCAGAUCUAAUUCGAAAUUGAUCGAGUCGAUCCGAUCGUUUCCCAUCGAAAUAGGCAUCAAAGCGUAGACGCUCACGUGAAAUUCCAAAUCGAAUCAUACGGCCUAUGCUCAACUCGAACUCUGUUCUGUUUCAACAUGUAUAUAUAUAUAUAUAUAUAUAUAUAUAUAUAUAUAUUCACAUAUAUAUAUAUUAUAUGUAUAUGUGUGUAUGUAUAUAUAUAUAUAUAUAUAGGACGAUUCAUUCGGACCUGAUACAAGCAAAAAGGCCUUUGUCCAUCGACAUGUUAGGGAUCAAAGAGUAUAUGCACAUUGGCAAGCCUGUUCAACUCUUAUUCGAAAGGAUUGCAUGCAAGUAGUGCUUCGAUCGUAUAAAAGAGACAAGAGAGAACAAAAAAAGAAAGAAAGAGAGAGAAAAGAGAGAAAGACAGAGAGAGAGAGAGAGAGAAAGAUAACAAAUUCUAUUAUCGGCCGAUCGUCGUCGUGACAAUACUACGAAAACAAUUUAAAAGAAGAAAACAAAGAAAUUACGUAAUUACAUGGAAUACAUAUGACAUAUUAUUAUAUAUUGAUAUUUUGUCAAUGAUGAUGAACGAUAUACGAGCUGUAGAUAUUAAUGUGACAUCAAAUAUUAAAUACCUUCUAUAAAAUGUGAAAGAUUAUCUGUAAUUAAAAAAAAAUAAAAAAAUAAAAAAAUAUAUAAUAUAUAUAAUAAAAAAAAAAAAAAAGAAAAAAUGGACAAAAAGAGAAGGAGUUGAUAUAACGUAAAGAACAAAAGAUAAAAAACAGAAAACUAGAUGGAAAGAGAGGGCAAUCCUCCGCUCCCUCUCUAACCCUCCCUCCUCCCUUGUUCACGCACCCAUACAUAUACUCCUCACAUCAUCAUG